UGGAGUUUAACGUAAUUAAAUAGACCAAUGUUUUUUAACAUAGGAAAAUAGUUCAUUAUAAACAACAGUUAAAUGUUGUUGUUAUUAAUUGCAAUCAGAUUUGAUUUUAUGAGGUUAAAUUAAGCAUUUCAGUUCUGGGCCAAGGCCAAGGCAUUUAACAUUUUUUUUUUAAAGUUGCAUGGAAGAUUAUAUGUAGCAGUGAUUGUCACACACUAGGUGUGGUGAAAUUAUUCUCUCCAUUUGACCCAUCACCCUUGAUCACUAUGCUAGUAAACCUUUUCUUAAUUUUAAACAAGACAGACUAGAGUUCUUCAAAUUGUUUAUACUUUUUCUCAAAUACAAAUAUUUCAAGCUGAUAAGCACUGUGGAGUUGGCAUGUUACUGAUAUUGUUACAUUAGUUCUUUGUUUGAGAAGCUUCAUGUCUGCAUUGAGCCUAAAUUCAACAGUUUUUGAAGGGUUUAGUUCUUUGUUUUAUUUCUGUGUCACUGACCUUUUUCAUUUUUAUGUGUGGAUUUGUUAGGCGCAUCAACACAUGAAAUAGACAUCGUGUCCAAAAGAAGAGCGAGACGUAAUCCUGAGGCUGAAGCCACCGAGUUUAUUUGAUCUGGAUGUGACAAGUCUUGUUUUAAGGCCCAGUGGAUCAAUGAUUGGAAAGACACCAACUGUUGAUGUUCUAUCUCAACAUUCUCCAGAUUCAUGUGAGCAAUAAACCGACUUCAUCCCUCCAACAGACACCAACUGUUGGGGUUCUAUCUCAACAUUCUCCAGAUUCAGAUGUGAGCGAUAAACCGACUUCAUCCCUCCAACAGAAACCAACUGUUGAGGUUCCAUCUCAACAUUCUCCGGAUUCAGAUGUGAGCCAUUAACUGACUUCAUCCCUCCAACAGAAACCAACUGUUUGAGGUUCUAUCUCAACAUUCUCUAGAUUCAGAUGACAGCCAUAAACCGACUUCAUCCCUCCAACAGAUUGACAGCAGGACAAAUCGCUGGAAGUAGGUAUGUCUCAAGCUUCUUCCACUUGGUCCACUCCAAAGCGGGCUGCAAAGGGGAAGAAGUGGAAGCAGUUGAAUGACACAUGUUGCAUUUUGUAACUGGCAACAAAGUACCAGGUAAAAAAGAUUGUGAAGCCUGCCUCCAUAAAGAACUAGUAGCUCUACAGGACAGAGAUUGGCUUGCCAUCAAGUACUACAUCCAUAACAGAAUUAUAUUAAAAAAAGGGAAAAAAAAUGUUUUCACACAUCUUCUGUGGUAGUUUGAGUAUGUUACCAGCAAUUAAAAAAGCAAAAUAAACAGCAAGCGUUUUGUAUUUAUUCCAGAUAAUUCUUAGCGACAAAAUCCACAAAAACAAUUCAGUUACACUUAGUUGACAAUUACAUUUUUACCCAUGUUUCUUUUAAACUCUUCUUGGUUUUAGAUUACAGUAGCAUGGGAUGGGGAUUUUUUUUUUAAAUGACAACACAUCAACUAAACCAACUCAGGUGGUUUUGUUAAGUCUCUGAUGUCAUUAGCCUCAUAUGUCACAUGAACCUGAAAUCUUAAACACUCUGUGACGUCAUGGUUGUCAUAUUUCACAAACUUGAAAUCUUAAACACUCUGUGACGUCAUGGUCAUCAUAUGUCACAUGAACCUGAAAUCUUAAACACUCUGUGACGUCAUGGUUGUCAUAUUUCACAAACUUGAAAUCUUAAACACUCUGUGACGUCAUGGUCAUCAUAUGUCACAUAAACUUGAAAUCUUAAACACUCUGUGACGUCAUGGUCGUCAUAUGUCACAUAAACUUGAAAUCUUAAACACUCUGGUCUUCAUUUGUCACCUAAACCUGACAAGUCCUCAUAUGUACCAUAAAAAUCAGGUUCAGAAAAAAACAAAAGAGUUGCAAAAAUCUCAAUAGACCACUGUGUUUCUAAAAUUCUGGUUCACUAACCGUCUGAUUCCCAGGCCUGCAGGACCAUUGGAAAGGCAUGUCCCCAUAUGUCACGUUUUUGUCAUAAGUCCUCAUAUGUCACCCAAACACGUAUGUGUGUGUGUGUGUGUGUGUGUGUGUGUGUGUGUGUGUGUGUGUGUGUGUGUGUGUGUGUGUG